AUAAUAAUAAUUAUUGUUGUUACAAUAAUAUUCUUUGGUCAAGCUACUUGUUCUAAACAUGCUUUUAAAAAAUGCAGUUUUACAUUGCUACUUCUAUUUUGAAGGGGAAAUAGCGGCUGUGCUGAUGACCAAAGUGUGAGCCUUACAUGGCAAUCUCUCCUCUCCUGUGGAGGCCCCGGGGAGGGGAAGACAGACCCACCAGCCAGGAAGUUCCCAAGAUCCAUUGGUGCCUCUUUCUUUGAGCUCUGUGGCUUCCUCCCCACCAUGCUGCCCAAUGAGAGAGAGACAAGUGAACAAGCCAGGUGGCAGCUUGGUGCCUCCUUUUGCUUCCUAACUCUGGAUAGCCUCACUGGGCCUAAUCUUUCGCACUACUGCCUAGAGAGGGAGGAUGUAAGAAGAAGCCUUCCAGGGGGAGCAGGCUCUGGAAGUGAAGAAAGCAGGAACCAUCCCUUGGCCCAAUCUUUGUUGCUGAAAGAAGAAAGUUUGAGGGAUUGUGUGGAGGUUGUGUAGAUUCCUGCAAGGAGCAGUAGCUAUCUCCUGUUCUCUCUCUCUCUCAGUGGCAGAGGAUUUGAUUCACUGGGCUGAAUCCCCAAUGGAGAAUAAGCUGGCUGAUGUAAAGUACUUCUCUCUCACAAGAGUGUUAAUGUAGCAUAGGUGACUCCAAAUAUAGUGUGUGUGUGGCGGUGGGUGGGUUCCCCAUUGUGGAAAGAGAUCUUCUUCUGUAAAAAGAGAUUUUGUUUGUUCCUCAAAGGGAAAUUUCUGUCAACUUUGACAGUUACUGCUUUGCUCAUGCUGAAACUUUGCAUUAUCUCUAGUGUUGGAGUCUUCACCAGAGUGAAAACCUGCUCGCAUGUGAACAAGUCAGCCCUGCCAUUUUCUGGCAGUACUGCAGUGAACAAGUUAGCCCUACCAUUCUGGUAGCACUGCAGUUUUUCUCCAGAUGCUAAUGGUAUAAAAAGAGCAGAAAAUGGCUGGUUAUACUGCACCUUCUUAUAGGUAAACACAAUAGAAGAGUAAUGCCCAGGUACUGCAGUGAGAACACAGUCAAUAUAUUCCAGUUUCAUGUGUAUUUUGUUUUCUUUUGUUUUUACAUUCUGGUUUAUACAGAGUAAUUAAACUGAUUUUCAGACCUUUC